GAGGGUAUAGCUUAAGUGGUAGAGCGCAUGCUUAGCAUGCACAAGGUCCUGGGUUCAAUUCCCAGUGACUCCC
rnacentral:tRNA from 1 species